rnacentral:rRNA from 1 species
CCUACGGGAGGCAGCAGUGAGGAAUAUUGGUCAAUGGGCGGAAGCCUGAACCAGCCAAGUAGCGUGCAGGAUGACGGCCCUACGGGUUGUAAACUGCUUUUAUACGGGAAGAACGCGCCUUACGUGUAGGGCUUUGCAUGUACCGUAUGAAUAAGGACCGGCUAAUUCCGUGCCAGCAGCCGCGGUAAUACGGAAGGUCCGGGCGUUAUCCGGAUUUAUGGGGGUUAAAGGGAGCGUAGGGGGCUUGUUAAGUCAGUUUUGAAAGUUUGCGGCUCCACCGUAAAAUUGCAGUUGACACUGGCAGUCUUGACUACAGUAGCGGUGGGCGGACUUCGUGGUGUAGCGGUGCCAUUCUUAGCUAUCAC